rnacentral:snoRNA from 1 species
UCCAGCAGUAGUCGGCCGUCCAGACAGACGGAUGCGUAGCUGUGAAAGCGGUGUUACACUGCUGGGAGAGCAUUGUCUUGUCUUCUUCCCCUGGUGGCCUGUGUCCGCUGUUCUAGUGGCAAGGGGCACUUGUGCAAGGAGCGUGACAGUGCUUCCUUGAGAGUGGUGCUGAGCAUUCACUUUGGCUGCUUGGUUCUAGUCUGGGAGCAGACAGU